rnacentral:rRNA from 1 species
AUGGUGUUCCAGAAGAGGACGUCGUCGGAGAUGGAGUCGUGCGGCGGAAGCCACGUCGCGGAGAUGCCGCGCGUCCCGAAAUCCGCGAGGGGGAAGAGAUCGGUUAGGAAGAAGGAGAGCCAGGGCCAGGCGAUGUGCGCGUUUGACCUUCUCGCGACGGUGGCCGGCAAGCUGCUCGAUGAGGGCGAGGGCUCGCUGGGGAACAUGAGCGCCGGCUCCCCGGUCCUCGCUGCUUCUGCCAAGGAUGUCUGCGUGAAGCAAGAGCAGUGCGACGAGGAGGGGAAGCACCUCAAGAAUUAUGUGAUGGACCAGGAUAGCUGCAAUGAGAGCGCGUUGAUCUCCCACAUUGCGUCUCAGAGGCUGGCGGAUCACCAUUCUCGGAAGGGAGAGGAUCUGAAUGAGGUUCCAAAGGCAAAGUCUGAGGCUGUGGACAAGGAACCCUCCAUGAUAAGUUGUACCAAGGCUGACUUGGGUAGUAAUUUUGGGGCGAUCGCGGACAGGUGGUCGUCUGAAUCCGUGGAGUCAGGGGCCUUCACCGGGGAUGCAGCGGCAAAUGUCAUGGCAUUGGCCGCAGCAGCCUUCAACAAGAACGCCCCUGACAUGUACAAUCUUCUCGACCCCAUGGAUGUCGAUGUGAAGCCGCCUCCUUUGGUCAGCUCUGACAGCACCGGCGAGAUGCCAUUAUAUGGUGGCAAAAUUCACAAGUCCGUCUCCUUUCCGAGGGGUCCGAAAGGAGGAGCAGAGUAUUCUGUAGAUAGAGAGAAUGAUGAUGAUGAUGAUAAAUCUUCCGGGUGCACCCAUUCGAGCACCGCCACUAACAGGGGCUUCAGGCCCAAUUGUACAGCUGACCAAAGUAGGGUGAAGAAGUUCCUCGCCUGUAAGUACAGGAAAGUUGCUCCUGCCAGAAUGCACAAAGGAGAUCUUUCCUAUAGUGAUGCUGACCGGAAGCCUUCUUUCCGAAACAAGAAAAUGUAUUAUACGCGGCAAAGGACCCAAAGGAGUACAUUUAAGCGAAGGAAGAUGUUGGAUCGUCAUUCAACUCUAGUAUCUGAAGAAUUUGCAAAAUCAAAUGCAAAGAGAACCACAAAGGUUAAUGCAAGAGAACCACAUGCUGCUUCCUUGGAAGCAAACAAGGGCAGCAACUCAAUGCCAUUCCAUGGAUCUUGUAAAUCAAACGAUUGCCAUGUGAAACUUAAGAUCAAAUCUUUCAAGGUGCCUGAACUUCUAAUUGAGAUCCCAGAAACUGCUUCUGUUGGUUCACUGAAGAAAACUGUUCUGGAGGCAGUAAAUGCCAUGCUUGGAGGUGGUCUGCGUGUGGGUGUUCUUCACCAUGGAAAGAAAAUCAGGGAUGAUAGCAAAACCUUAAUGCAAGCUGGGAUUGGUCAUGAUGAUAUGCUGGACAACAUAGGCUUUUCACUUGAACCCAACUGUACAAGGCAUUCAUCUCAACUUGCAGCUCCUGAAGAUAUCGAAUUCCUAGAAACUGUUGAAACCACUGAACCCCUAGCAAGGAUUGCACCUGCUGACUCGUCUUCGAAGCACGGCGAACUCGAUGCCUCACAGGAGCUUGCAUUGACACCCUUGACAGCUAAUUACCAGGGGAAUGAUCACGAUUCAGUGCACUCUCCUGGGGGCAUCUCCUCACCUGAGAAAGCUUCGGCAAACUCGCGAGCAAUUGUUCCAGUUACACCUGUAGAUUCCAGCGCAGGGGCGAUAGUUCCAGCAAACAAGGCGAAGAGAUCAGCGGAACAGGGGCAGCGUCGAAUCAGACGUCCCUUCUCUGUUGCUGAAGUGGAAGCACUUGUGCUUGCAGUCGAAAAGCUUGGAACUGGAAGAUGGCGAGAUGUUAAACUUCGUGCUUUUGAUAAUGCCAAGCAUCGGACCUAUGUUGAUCUCAAGGACAAAUGGAAGACGCUGGUGCACACGGCGAGCAUCUCGCCCCAGCAGCGGCGCGGUGAGCCGGUGCCGCAGGAUCUGCUCGACCGGGUCCUUGCGGCCCAGUCCUAUUGGUCCCAGCAGCAGGCCAAGCUCCAGCCUAAGACGCCCCCACUGGCUGAGGCUCGCCUGCUCACCUAA